CCAGCAUUUUUACAGAGCUGUGUGCACAGGAACGUGUCAAUUGUGUUCCCGUCAAUAUUCCCCAGCCAUCUUAUCUGUCAGAUGAAUCGCUGAUUUGGUGAGUGACCUUGCAUUGGACUUGCGCAAGGUGCUCGGGAAUGCCACGGGGACUUGUUUGCAUCCCGCAUCCAUUUGAGGCCCUGCAUGCGUCUCGGCGACGGCUACGCCGACCUUAACUCAAGCGGAGGGAGUAAAGCAUGAGCGGGAACGACGGGCGGGAGCGAAGAUGGUGACCGGAGUUAAACCCCCCCACAGGAGUCAGCCACGCUUAUUUGAACUCGAAUUGUCACAUGCCUCAUUUAAAACCCUCAAACUCCCACAUGUUGCGGUGCCCCUGCGAGCGUCACUCCUCGAAAUCAAAGAGAGCCCCAUCACUCUUGACGUGCAUCAUCGCACCCAAGAUGGGGACAAUAAAAUAAAGAUUAAAGAGAAUAUUUAAGUAUGAAAAUUGCACAGGAUUAAACACUCCACCAAGACUCAACACCCUCUGACACACGCAUUCAUCCUCCAAUCGGAGACGGAACGAUGCGACCCCACAUCUAAGUGAUGAUGAAUGCCGUGCAAGAUCCCCCCACCCCCCGCUGAACUGUAUAAUUACAGUUAUCACACAUGGCUGUAAUUCUCACUUAACACACUAACUUUAACACUUCUCGGUCUCGCCGGCUGGCACGGACACGCCACGCCAAUAAAAGUGCAUUCCUUCUCUCAAGCGUGCAAAGAUUAAGGCAGAGUUUAAUGCAUUAAUUUCUGUUGGGAUUACAUGAAAGUGUCUGCUUUCAACAGCAUUUACUGUUUUUCUACUGUAAAAUCUUCAGAAGAGGAGUCUUUGCUGACAAAGUGCCAGAUUUAGUGACGCUGACACCGAAUACCAAGUGGCAUGAAGAAGUAGGAAGACAUGAUUCAACAUCAAAUUGAGCUUUUUCACAAAACAUAUGAACAUAUCGCAGCAACAAAAAGAACAGCUGAACUGUGUGAUGCCUCUCAUAUACUGUCAUCCCCUUCACUUCUUCUUGCCAGUUAAUGACAACACUAGACGGUGAUUUGUCGUAAAUGAUGUAAAGGAUCAGCAUUCUGCUUUUAUUUACAAAUGCUGAGAAUCCAUCCAUUGAACUUUAGUGGCGUCAAAUUUUUAAUAAAAAAGACUUUAACAGAC